rnacentral:lncRNA from 1 species
UCCUCGCCCUUGUCCUUCACCCUCCCAGCCCGCUGCCAGCCUCCACCUCCAGUUUACAAAUUCCCUUCUCCUCUGGAGCUACCUGACACCCAGGACUGCCCCGCAGGUUCAGGAGAGGUCAGAGACAGUUGCCCCACGUGACAGAUGGGCAGAGGGCAAUCUGAAGAUUUCCUGGAGACCCCAUGUUUCUGUGAAAUAUACCGCUUCAGCCCCAUCCAGCCCAACUCUGGAAGUUGCCAGGGUGAGGGGAGGAUGCAGCCUCGUUUCCAUACCUUGGGGUUUGUUCAUCUCCUCUGACCCUGAUGCCAGAGAACUGACAUCCAGAGUUUAGGCCUGUAUCUGCCAGGCUCCUCCUUCUGCUUGAAACAGACCCUCGGGGGCCCCUGAUGCCACCGAGGCAAUUCGCACUGUCCCUGGGCUGCCAGGCACCUGCGCCUGCACUCGGUCAGCCGCAGACCUUGCCUUGGGGGAGAGAGGUGGUUAGUGGACCCAGGCAGGGCACUGGCUGUCCCAAUGCUGUGUGCUGGGGUGGAGGUGGCCGGGCACCACAUGUCCUUGAAGUGCCCUACUUCUGAUGGGCUGUGUUCCUGCCUCCUCUGGAGGGGGGCACUUAGCCCCAAUAAAAGCUGGAAUCAG